rnacentral:lncRNA from 1 species
CUAGCCCACCUUUAAUCGAUGUUCGAUGUUGUGGUCGAGUAGUGAAUACUCGAGUGUAAAGCGACUUCUCUAAGGGAAGAUGGAUUACAAGAAAAAAGAGCUCUUUUCCCGUCCGUCUCCAGUCAUCCGACACCCUGAGUGACUCCGAGUCACAGGUGUGUGAAUCAAAGCCCAACAACCUUUUGUCGCCCUCUGAGCAGCUUCCACUGGAUUCUUGUGAGUUAUAACCUUUGCAUUCAGGGACUUCAAAGGCCCGAGGCGCUGUGAGGAGAACUGUAUUAUGUACCGAAUAUGUGAGGAGAAAUAGUCAGACAGCAUUCACUUUUAAAAGACUCGUGUAAGAAAACAUUCAGACAUGUCAGUGCUUUUAGCUGUUAGCACGUUCUUAGCCUUGAGCUAAUGUCACCGCAGUUCUUCCUGUUAUGUCGGCGGCUUGUUAACCAUGCUCCAUUGUUGUAGUUUUGACAGCUGGUUAAGUUGUCACACGGCAGCGCUGCGGCUCUGUGUUAUGUGACAGGAUAAGAAAAAAGAUUUAAUGCUGCAUCUGUUUAACAGAGUGCUAUCAGAGUUAAUUGGUUUUAUAUUUCACCACAUGUUCCACCAACGUAUGUGCUUGUCUUAUGAAUAACCCUUUGUGAAGAGUUUAAAUAUUGGCGCUUUUCUGGUAGCUUUGUUAAUGGUUAAUAAAUACAAUAAUUUAGUUAUAAUGUGGGUGAUGAAUAUGCAUGAGUCCUUUGCCUUUUAUAGGCCGUAAAGUCUACAGUUUAAGGAGGAAAAAAAAUCUGUGUUGCUGUUUAAUUCAACAGCUAAAGCAGAAGAAACUGCAAGAGGGUGAAAAACAGCAGAAAAAAAGGUUUUUUUUACGUCAGUACUGGGGUUAACCAAAUUAUGAUACCAUCCAAACUCGAAAAAAUGAGUCAUGCAGAGGUAGUGAGCCUGAUUUUGUUUUAAAAUUUUUUGGAGUCCAAUAAAGAGCUGUGUAAUUUAUCAGUAUUGAUUAAAAAAAUGUAAUGUUUUAUGUAAUAGAUAAAAACUCAACUUUUUAACUGAUUAAAAGUGUUUUUGACCUUCGUAGUAUUUAUUAGCUACCCUCAUCUGUGUUUGUAGUAUUUUUGUGUUUUUCUGCUCUUUUUUUUUUUUGUUUGUUUGCCAACUCGCAGCAUUUCUUUUUCUGUUCAGUCUCACAGCUCCCAUAUCAGCCAAUUGUUUAUGUGAAAUGAAAGCUUCAAGUGAGAGAAUCAUCCAAAACCUGAGCUCAAAGAACUGUGAGUGUCAGGGGCGGAUUUAGGGUGACACCAGGGGUGACCCUGCCCCAAAAUCCUGCACUAUGAUUGGCUGUCUGCUUCGUGUAACAAUCAAUAAUUUUUGCAAUCAGAUGUGAUUUAAUUUUAAUUCUUUUGAGUAUCGCUCAUUUUCAAACAAAUAUCUUUUUUAUAUCCAUUAAGAUUUAAAGUGGGAAAAUUCAGCUAUUGUUUACUGACAUUAUGAGAGACUUACCCUUAAUUUCCACCGCAUCCGGAAUGGCUACGAAAAGGUCAUAUCCGUCUUAAAAAAAGGUCGUAGCUGAUCGUAAUCAUCAAAGUUAACAUGUCAAUUUUCCACCAGCUUCUUUCUGUUGCACUGCGGAUUGCUGGACUGCGCAGCUGAUCACAAGAGUUCUAUUUUUUACGGACGCCGGAGCAUGCCGGAUAAAUUCAGCACAGAUUAACCCGUGCUGGAAAAGAAGUCGGGCACAGACACGAAAUAAAACAGGCAGAUUGUAUUUCACAGCAUGCAAACGGGCGGGGAAAAACAAAUGAAAGGUUUUUAGGCGGCAUUUCAUCCCGAUGACACCAUGGAUGAGGAGAUGCUGAUUUUAGAAGUCUAGGGGUGGACACAAUCUUCUGCUUAUAUUGUUAGCCUAUGUGGCUAAAGACAACUUGUUGUAAUUCUGAUUGCAUGUGAAUCUACAGGUUCUUGUGAGUUCUUGUGAUUCCUGUUGUUCGUCAUCCGCCACUAAAUUCGCCUCACAUACGGAUCUGAUAGGAAAUGGUGCCGCUGUUCUGGAUCAGAGCUGUUCCUGAAAAUCCCGGGUUAAGACUUACAAAAAGCGACAUAUCCCCAUCCCGAUCAGACUUACAUUCAUUCAUCAUAAACAAACCUGAAUACAUUUUCUGUCACUUAUAAUCAAAAAAACAUCUGAUUCCUUUCACUUUACUUUGCUAACUUCAUGCUGCUUUGAGAAGCUGAUGACAAGACUAAUAAAAUUAUUCUGCUGCUUUUAUAUGACCUGUAAAAAUAAACAACACCAUCAGAGGGAAGAUUGAUUAUUUUGAUGGUUAUUUUUAAUGCCUGCAGCUGCUGCUGUUGUCGGGUAGGUGUUAGACGAGGUAACAGCAGGCAGCCUGUCACGUCCUGUCUUUGAAUUUUCCAUUACGAUGAGUUAUCGUGAGCUGCAAGUUUCUCGAAGUCGGGAUUCAUGACCGUUUCUUAAACAGCAGAAUUGUUCACACCUGUGCUCUUACAGUGAUGAAUGGUGCCCACAUGAGUUUCAGGCUAGCACCAGUUUGUCCUAAUCAUCACAGAUAACGCCCCCUCCUACGCCCAUAGAGGACUCGCACACAAAAAUCACACAAACACACACAUAUCUAAAAAGUGCAAAUUUAAAUCCAAACCAAAAGCUGACUGGACUCUGAGUGAAAACAUACAGUAGUAGUUUUGAAACCGAGCGAGCGCCGCUGGAAGUGAAACACAAACAGACUGAUUUAUAUUAAUGAGCAGUACGAAUAUUUGAUGCAAAAAAACAAGAUACAUUUGAUACUAUCGCUGGUUCAGAGGAGGCUUUAAUGAGAAAUGGAUGCAUGGAUGGAGGGAAAGAAAAGCUUGAUCUGGAAUGCGAGGGGAAAAUUGAGACAGAGGGGGGUCUCGCUUUUGAAUGAGACCCAUUAUAGGCUGCUGCAGUAAAACAGUUGAAAUAUGAUCGCUCAGCAUGAAACAGUCAACUUAUUGUCUGUAACGUAUAUUUAAUUUUUUUCCAACAUGUAAUCUUGUACAUAUUAUUUAAAUAUUUACUAUAUUAUUGUGCAUUAAAUGGAUUUCAGAUACUGUAGUUAAUGCUGCCCUUAGAGACUCAAUGGAAGAAGCAUGUAGAGAUUAUAGAGCAAGGAUGGAAAGUUUGGGUUUGUCCUGUAGAAGAAAGUGGGUCGUAGAGCAGGAUCAACUAUCUCAUGACUGGGAGGAUUGGAAGUGUGUGGACAGAGUUUUGCGAAAGGCAAUGAAGGAGAAGUCUGAUAAAACAGUCAAACAAGUCAGUGGAUAUAGAUAACAUGAGACAUGAGCUCAGUCGGGGGCCGAGACAAAGUUAAAGAGAAAAUCCAUCAGCUCCUCGCUCGCUCUCUUUUCUUUCCAAACUUUCUUCAUUGAAAUGGAAGGUGGGCAGAGCUACGGUCGAGCUCUGGUCUCAACAGGCGGCCUCUCAUCCAGGCCUGACUUGUCUGUACUCUUCCUUACAUCCUUUUUUUUUUUUUUUGCUCUUUCCUUCUUUCUUUGUGAAAAUGGGGGGUGUAAGGGGAGGUAGAGCGUACAGCCUAACACAUCAGGGCUGAGCUUUAGCCCUAAAAAAACUUCUUAGACUGUCUUUUCAUGGAGAAAGUUGUAGGCCAAGACAAAGUUAAAGAAAAAAAAACUAUUUCUUUUCUCUCUUCCUCCCUUUUUUCUCUUUCAUUGUUCAUUUGAAAAGUGGGUGGAGGCGGAGCAUACAGGCAGGAUUGAGUUCCAGCCUGAACAAGCUUCUCACACUAGCUCACCUUUAACAUCUCCUUAGAGCACCUUCUCUAAUUUGUUGUUUCUUUCACUCUACUCUUUUGAAAACAGUGUCGGGGGAGGUAGAGCGUACGGGCAAAUUCACCAAAGUUGGCAAAACGUGCCUCUCACUCAGUAUGUUUACAUGACACUCGAGAAAACUGAAUUAUCGCCUUACUCCGAUGAAGACCGCCAAACUGAAGUGCGUGGAAACACAUUAGUCCGACAAUAAUCGGAGUUUGAGAACUCUGAUUAAGACACCCAGAUAAUGCGAUUGGAAUUCGAUUUUCUCUACCAUGUAACCAGCGUAGUCGUAGUAUGAUUGGACAAUGCAUGUGUGCGUACGCCGUGCCCCCGUAACCCCGGAACAAAAACACUGGAGAAGAAGUGGCGCUAUCAUUUAAAGAACUUUUGAAAGAAUCUUCACUUUUGAAAUGAAGGGGAGAGUGCCGUUAUGCUUUCCCCCCUGAAAGAAAUGGACAUUUUAAAGUAUACGGACAGUCACAAAUGAAGAAAGGAGACACCUUUAAAAAAGUCCAGAAACAGCGCCGCUGAAAAGACCCAUAUCGCCCCCUAGUUUUGGCGAGUGAGGACAUGUUAACGUCAAUCAUUCGAAUUCCUCAGCUGCAUGUACGUGGACAAGGAAAGAAGUCAGAUUUGGCUAAAAAAAACGAACUACAAGCGUAGUCCGAUGAAGCUGUGCAUGUAAACGCACUGACUGACUUAACUGUCCUUAUCCUACAUCUGUUUUUCCUCCUUUCCUCUCUUUCUGAAUUGAGUAAGGGGAUAUAAAAUGUACAGCCAACCCAAAACAGCCUGCGUGCAUCCCCGUCCUCUUCCAUAUCUUUUUUCGCUUUCGUCUUCUUCCUCAUGAAAAUCUGAGAGUUGUGGGAGGUAGAACUUCUUUGUCCUCUAUCUAACACCUCUUUCUCCGCUUUUUUCCCUCCUUUCUCUCUUCGCGUGUGAGCAGAGAAGAAGCUGAGAGGUAACACGUGUUCGUUUCAGAUUGCUUUAUUACCGACAUCUCCUCCUGCGGUGGACUGUCAUAAUGCUGUUUAACUCGGGGUAUUAUAAAAACUUCUGACUCGUCUCGGAGUUCCGCUUUGUGCAUGAAUCACACAAGGUCAGCAGCUACGCCCCCUGUUCGCGGCGGCGGACUCCGCGAUCCUUCAGAAGACGUAAUUGCCUGUUUGAGCAACAUAAAAAAAAAAAAAAAAAACAGCAAACACCUACAAGGACAUAAACACAAUCCUGUGACAGCAAAUGUCAGGCGCACAGGAAAAAAACGGAGUCUCGGCAAAUGAGUGCAUUGUUGAAGGGAAAGUGUAGCUCAAAGUGAAAUGUCACAUAAUUUCUAGUUUUCUUUCAGGGUUUCCAAAAGGCACAUUGGCAUGAGGCUCAGUUCUCAGCGUAAGUCAUGCAGACUGUGAAGAGAGAAAGAGCGAGAUGGUAUUUAAAGCUAAGAUGCUUUCUGGAAACCGAGCCAAGGACUGUGGAGGAAAAGCAGAAGUUUGUGCUUCUUAAGUAGAUUAUUGCGCUCGGUUCGAGAAAAUAAAAGUCCAGUAAGGUGCAGGUGGACCGAAUUCACCUCAAAGAUCAAGUGUAAGAAAAAAAAAAGCAGGUGCUCUGUGUCCAUUUCGGCUUCUGUGAUUCACUGUGUGAUCCUGAGCGAGAGAGAACGGCCUGGCCUUAAAGGAGAGUGAGGUAAAUAGAGUGAGGCAGAUAGAGAGAGAGAAGAGGGGGGAGAAAGAGAGCGUACGCUUCGGUGUUUCUGAGGUUGAAAUGAGAGAUGGAGAAACAGAGCUCGGAGGCAGUCGGGUGUAAUACAGCAAUAAUCGAGUGGACGGAGAAACACAGGUACAGCUGGGAGAUCUUGGAGCAAAAGAAAUCACCAAAUCUAAAAUGAAAACUGCUAAAUCUCGUGUCUUGUGAGCGCGGCUUUAUAACCGGGGCUGUAUUCGGAUCACAGAAGAGUCCAGGCAGAUUUGAGUAUGAGCUAACGCUGCGUGUGCAUCCUAACAUUAAAAACAAGCUUCUGGGUUUGAUGAGUCAAAUACCAACUGAACAUUUCUCCCCCUUCACGCGUCCACUCAGCUGUGCAGGUCUCAGCUGGUUUGUUAUGUGUUUAUUCCUCUCAACAAUUGGGUAUCCGCACUGAUUUAUCCUUGUGCAAAGUUGCGGGGUAAUGCCGCUUGUAAUUGCAAAUUCCCUGUCACAACAAGUUUUGUCGAGAUAAAAUAAGAAAAAAAAAGCAGAGUAAAUAUCAGGGCAGCAUUUGGUCCGGAUCUGGAUGGCUUAAUAUAUUUUGAAAUGAUUUACCGAAACAUCUUCAACCGCUGCAGUCUGCAUCAGCAGCAGCCCCGGUCUCCCAUCGUCUCCCAUCAUUGCGCGAAUGAGUGGAAUUCAUUUUGCCAUCAAAUGUCCACAUGUGGCUGAAGUGAACGAGAGCUGUUUGUACAGAGGAAGACGCAGCAGGGGGGGGAGGAGGAAGAAGAGUAUCCUGCCGAGUGACAGAAUGAAAGAGGGAAAUAAAAAUGAGGGCAAACCCAGCGGCUUCCAGGGAGCUUUUUCAAACGGAGGGUUUUGCACCUUUCAUAAGACCUACGGCGUCAUGCUAAUCCCUGUUCUCUCAUCCAAACAACGCUGUAAUCAACACUUAUAUCAUCUUACUUAUACACAGUAAUUAGAGUCUGAAGUGCCUGGCAUUUUCGAAACAAGAUGCUGAUUAAAUAAUUAGUCUGCAGAACAGCAUUUGUUUGCAAUAGCUGACGUUGUUUGAAAGGAAAAUGUCAAUUAUUUCCAGGGUUUGAGGCUGUAAGUUAAUAAAAGAACGAGGUACGAAUAGGUCAUUAUGAACUCUUGGAGACUACGCAGCUAUUUUUCUGGAAUUUUACAGAUAAAAGUAGCGGUUUGCAAACUGAAGGCCUUUAAAGUGGAACUAAAGUUGAAUAAAUCUGAUCUGUCACGUCAGUAAACAAACAGAGAGCUUCCACUCAGGCACAGCUAUCAGUAUUCAGGUUAGGAAGUGUCGUUCAGACAGCAAAACAACAAGUAAUGGAGGGAAAGAAGAACAGGCCACGCUUAUCAGGCAGAGUCAUCAGCGGAUGGAAAUCAGUCAAAACCAAAGUCAAGAAAGUAGACUAAAAGAGCAGACUCACAGCUGAGUUAACUGUUCCUUCACCGGGAAGGUGGGCGAGAACUUGGAGGGGAUAACACCUGAAAACUUUUCUUGUUAGGGAACAGACCGAGAAGUUUACUGCCUGUGGUGAUCUUUGUGACUGCUGGGAACAAAGAAACUUUAGUUGAUCCUACGCCGCAGACGUGUAGGUGAGAGUCUCAUCCUGCUUUAUUUAAAGGUACAGCGUGUAGAAAUGGGGAAAGUUAGGAUGUUCCUGCCCUGCAUUAAAAAUGAUCCCCCAUUUUUUCAAGUCUGUUCUGCAUAACAACAGCCGCUCUCUUGACAAUUCCCUUAACGAUUCCUUUCUUAAAAAACGGUCCCAUGAGAUCCAGUCUACGCGAACGGGAACAGAGACAGAGAAAAAAACAUGGUGGACGGUAACGAAAAGUAGGCAGAAAUGAGCUAAAGCGUGGCUUAAUUUUACUAAGAAAGACGAUUACAGAGUGAUAACAUGCAAAGGUGGAAACAGCAGCAAUAUGCUUAAACAUUUGUCAACGAGGCACGGCAUCAAAUAUAAGGAGUCACAUGUAUUUGAUGCUCUCCGCCGGUCGUCAGCACUGCAUUGAAGGUACAUAUGACAGGGUGACCAUGCGUCCUCUUUUACCCGGAUAUGUCAGGGGAGUUUAUAAAAUCCUUCAAAUGUCCAGAAUGUGUGUCCAUUUAUUAUAAAACAGUGCGGUGCAUCAGUGCUCUCUGCAGCUCUGCCCCUCCACUCACUUCUAAGCAAAGCAACUGACGCGACGCACGAAUGCGCUGUCUUUGGGAAUUCAGGAUAAUAUGCGUUUAACUGAGUCAAAAGCGCAUGAAAAACACAACCAAAAUUUCGCGCACAACUUCCGCCCCGCGUUGUAGUGUCCUCUUGUUGGGGAUUCUGAACAUGGUCACCCUAACGUAUGUCCCGUGUUAACGUAAGCACAAUGCAUGCCAGAAAUGCAGUACAAAAAGCAUUUUUGUUUUAUUAUUUUUAGACUCUCGUUCAAGGUGGUUUACAUCUUUUUCUGUUAUCAGACUCAAAAAAUUUUUGAGUUAAGAGAAAAAACUAGUAGGCUACCUUUUUUUUAAAUGAAGAAGCACACUGAUGUGGGAAUUGUUAAAGGAUUGAAUCGAUAAGCAGAAUUGAUAAUGGCAUUGAUAAAGUCAUAUCAAUUCCAUCCCUAGGUACACUAAUUUAAACAUACAUAACCGCGGCACAUGUAGUGAAUCCGCAGAGCUGAUACUUAAGUUUGUAGUCUACAUCCGCAAGUCCGAAUAAAUUAUGCCCUCAAAAUGGUUUGGUAAUUUAAAAAAAAACUGAUGUGUUAAACGGAUCUGAUUGUAUCAUUAAAAACAUAUAAUAACGAUACAUGUCAAUAUGAAUUCAAAACUGCAUUCACUCUCAGCUACUCUACCGGUGCACCGACACCUUGCAUGUGCGUUGCCACGGUUAAUCUUCUCAUCCUUAGUGUAGAGCAGUGCUGUCUCCACCCGAGUACACUUUAAGAAGUAAAAAGAAACUUUCGGAGUGGGACUUUAAACAGAGCUGGUUAUUGGCACACACCAGAGGAGGUCUCCAGAAGAGAAAUGCAGGUUUGCUCAACAACAACUUCAUGAUGCAAAGCGUCACCUUCUAAUAAAGUAGAGAUUGGAUUAUCAAAGUAAGCAUGCAGGCUCUCAUUUCUGACUGCCCAAUAACAUUAAUAGCAGAUUUCUACAGAUUACCUCAUCAUAGUGUUACCGCUGUGAGGACCUCUAUAAACCCUGACGCCGUGUGUAAACUGCUUGAUUAUUUUCCCAGCAUCUGACAAGCUUUUCAAUAAUUCAGUCCAACAAGAAAUCCUGAAACAGGUUUUAUUGUCUCUGGUACCUUUUAACAACAUCUCACGUACUUGAUGUUUUAUUAAUGCGAGGGUUUUGUCUCCUUGCUUUGGGCAGAAAUGUGAAAUCUUUUCUUCUAUCAUUGACAAAUCUGUCAAUUGUUUCUCUGUUUCGACUAAUUUUUUGAUGUAGAAAACUUCCAUUUGUUUUUCCAAUGGUAUUAAGGUCCUUGGGAACAACGCAAAUAUACAACGCAAACUUUCUAGGGGGAAAAAAGACGCGUCCCGGGUGAAAGCGAGAAGACUGACUGUUCUUCAGUUCUGAUUAGACACUAGUGUUGAGAUGCCUGUCUGUCAUGAUAGCAUGUACUGAGUCAGGGCCAGUACCAGAUAAGCACAUUAAACUGUAAUCCAUAAACGUAAGGUAACAACCGAGACCUAUUGAGUUUGAGACAGUGAAAAUACAUAUGGUAUGUUGUAUGUAAACAGGUUAGCUUAUGAGCUAAAGUUACUUAGCACAGAUGAAAGUUGAAACAAAGACGUUUAUCAAACUGUUAAAGCACACAAACCAUCGUCAUGUGAGAAAUCCGAUGCUAUGACUCUCCACAAGUUGUCCUUCAGGUUGUUAUCCUUGUAAUAUUUGUGUUUUUUAUCAAAAAGCACUCUGUUCUCCGACACGUAAAUGUUGGAUAUACCGGUGAAUCUGACGUCGCAGAUUCACGCAAUCUGAUUGGUCAGAAGUGGACACACAGUAUGCGAAACUUUAGAAAAUUCGACCGUGACACGAAAAAAUAAAUGCCACAAUAUCGCAGGACAGGAAAACGUUAGCCUGGCUGGGCCAUCCAGUUGCGUGAAUCACUUGCUGUUCCUUCCCACAACAGUCUGGACUUCGGCCAAUUGGGAGCCCAAAAAGUGGGCGGGAGUACUUUCCUUGAUAGACAGACUACUGUAACCAAUCGCCGUAACCAAACAUCUGAUGUCAUCACAGUGCGCAACUGUGUUCCCUGCUGGGCUCUCAAGCAUCAAGUAAAGGUUUGGUAAUAUUUCAACGUGUGCGAGCAAACAAUGUCUUUUACGUCUUCUUCAGCAGAUAUAAACGAUUUCUGCCGACUUUGCAAAGUCAACUGCAGCGUUAACGGCGUUCUGAAUGAACGGCGCUUUGAAAACUCCUGCAGCAUGUGUUAGACGUCACCAUCUACACAUGGACCAAUCAGGGGCUGCCUUUCCCUGUUGUCUGGGUAACAGUGGAAACACAGUCACUGAUUGGCCUGGUUAUUUUCUGAUUUCUAAUACUCGCUUCCAAUUGGCCGAAGUCCAGACUGUUGUGGGAAGGAACGGCAAGUGAUUCACGCAACUGGAUGCCCCAGCCAGGCUAGGAAAACGUCGCUGAUGUGAACGCUUGUAUCGACAGGAUCCGGGUUUGAAAAAAAAUUUUUGACGUCUGAAAUAAUUGCAUGAAACUCGCAACUCCAGCCUGAGUAGAUAUCCAGGGAGUGACCAGAUCAUUUAUUUUCUCUAAACAAGUGAAUAUAUUUCAAUAUUUGUUGAAACUAAUUCCAGGCAGACAACCAAUUAGUCUGAAAUUCCCUUCAGCUCCACAGACACCGCAUCCAAUUAUCAGGAUAAGGUGGUUUAAGUGAAAAUAUUGAAAGCGGUUUCUUUUAAAAACUGCUUCAGGUUCAACUCUGAAAAACUUUUGAAAUAUGCAACGCCUAUUCUUUAUGCAUUUCCGAUAAAAAAAUUACAUUUAAGCUGACUAAUUGGGUGAAAAAAGUAAACGGUUGAUGAAUCUCAGGAAAGGGGCAACAUGUCAGAAAAUGUCAAACAUUCAAUAGGCUGAACAAUGACUCCAUUAAGCAAAGAAUAAUUAAGAGAUCAAUCAUUGCGGGACAAAAGUGAUCGCGCAGCACUUCGUCUGAUCUCUUCAGAAACUCAAAAGUGGUGAAAUAUACUCGAGAUACUCGAGGAGAAGGACAAGCACUCAGAGAGGAGCCCUCGCUCAGACGCUUUUGUCUCUUUGAUAAGAUAAACGGCCCACUAAAGAUGCCACCUUCAAUACACCAAGACUCGAGGUAUUGUGCUCUUUCCUUCGGCCCCUAUUGGCCCUCAAAUCCAAAUCAUGGACUAGAUCGGCAGCAGGAUCCAACACAUCAGCAUGUGGGCAUCUCCUUUCACCGUCUUCUUCAGACCCACGAGUGAGGUCGGGGUCAAGAUGCUUCUUCAGACGAGAGCUUAUCUUAGUUAGACUGUGCGCUCCACCUCCCCCUUGUGCCUCCAUUUUUUUAAAGUAUAAGAGGAGAAAGAAGGAGAUCAUCAUCAUCAUCAGUAGCAGCAGCAGCAGCACAGGCAGGAUUUUAAUGGAGGACCGCGGCUUUACCCGCAUUAUCCAAUCAAUCAAUCAGGCGCGGCGUUUUUCCACAGCAUCGAGAUAAAAAGAGUCUGAGUGGCAGCGGAGUAACGUCCCACUCAUGAACUGUGCACACCGCCAUCCUCUGGGUUGUGUUUGCUAUCGUGGCCCCCACUCCCAUUGUCCCUCCAUUGUUAAUGAUAAUGUCAGCGGUAACUGGUGUGUGUCUCUGUGUGUGUACUUUACAGUGUUUGAAGAGUGUGAAAGCCUUUGUGUGCACUUUGUCAUAGGUGUGUGCGUGUGACCAGAGGUGACCCAGUGGUGUCCCUGCUGGUCCCGAGCAGGGAUAACACCCUCUGGAGGCGACACUCAUUAAUCAUCUUAUUCAAAACACACAGAAGCGCAAUCCAUCCUCCCAUCUCUCUCCUCCUCCUCCUCCUCCUCCUGCUCCUCCUCUCCUCUUCCUCCUCCUCCGCUUCACGGCAACGACGCUCCGUAAUGGGGUCACUGCUCCCAUUUAACAGAGACAGACAGACAGGGGGGGAGAGAAAGGAGAGGGAAAAGGGGAAGGGAUGGAGUGUACGUGUAUAGUAACAACGAAGUGAGAUUAAAUAAGAAGUAACGAAGGGGGAAGGACGGCGAGGGAGGUAGAAAUAAUAAAAGAGGGGGGAGGGAGAUGGGGGUAAAGAGGAAGGAAAUAAUUACAGAGGGAGGUGUUUGAAAGUAGGGGCGAUUAAGAGGAGAGGGAGGAGUAAUAGAGUUAGGGGAGAAUAAUAAAAGGGGGUAAAAAAUGUGCUGAAAAACAGUAAAAGUCUUCUGAUUAAUGUGGCAGAAGACGGAAAGGAAAACAUUGUGUUCUGUGGAAAUGUGGAGAAGAAUCUGUAAAAUGUGCUGCUGUGGGGACCCCGCGCUAAUUAUGUGACUCUACCCGUGUGUGUGUGCGUGCGUGCACGUGUGAGUCAUUCCUACGCUGGAGGACAAGCAUGUGUACAUAACCAGCACACAUGAAAAUGCACAAAAGCUCAUAGGAACACAUGCACAAACACACACGCAGCAAGCAAGCAAGCAAGCAAGCGAUGCCAGGGGACCUGAGCAGAAGUAGGUUCCUCCUCCUGCUGCAUUAUUCUCUUUGGAAUGUUGUUUUUAUUUCCUGGUUCGAAACUGUGGUGCAUCGCCCCUGGUUACCCAGCAUCACUCACACUGGCUCGCGCGCACGCGCCGCAGCGCCUCACUCAUCCUCGUCCCAGAACCACUUUCUAGAAAACAGCCUCUGACAGAUGCCCCAAACAAAGAGGAAACUGGGGGCUAAAAACACAUCUGAGCCAGAGAGAAAGCGAUGAUUUCCCCCUCCCGCCUCGACGAGGAGUGCGUGCCCUCGAAAUAACAAGUUCAUUCUGGUUACUGGUGGAGAACUGCUCCCGAGUCAUACCCUCGACCCUUUUGGCGGUGGAGCUUAAGUUAGACAAAUUGGGUAACAUCGGUUUCUGUCUGGGAGUUAGAUCAGAAGAUAUGCUGUACAUCUCUUUUAUUUCAGAGGACUUCAUCUAAAGCUGCAGCAAAUUAGCUCAUCUCAACUUAAACUAGGAACAAACUGGCAACAGCUUUUCUCUUUCUGUCCAGAAAAAAAACACAUUGAAGGAGCCAGACUGAAUCUCUGCCGUGAAGGUAGAAGCUCGAACACACUGCCAUUUCAUUUGCACCUCUGAUACGCCUUGUCUGCAAAGUGUGACCCACAGAGGCGUCAUGGCGGGGCAAAGCCGUUCCUCCAGGAGCUGAUGUGUGGCAUUGGAGCUGUCAGGGUGGAACAGUACUGUGUGUGUGUGUGUGUGUGUGUGUGUGUGUGUGUGUGUGUGUGUGUGUGUGUGUGUGUAUUUGGCCCUCUUGCUGUGUUGCAACGUAAAAUCCGGUAUACUGAUAGUACGCUAGUGUUGGCGUUAUGACGGUAUGUACUGUGUGACGUUAAAUAAGUGUCUACCGGUAGAAAUGUUGCUAUACUGUACUACUGUGUGUAGUUGUCUGCGCUCGCUAACAGGAAAGCCGGAGCGCAUCCCUUUGGGUGCGUUUCUGUAUAUUCACCAGUGUGUCAUGCCAAGUUUGUCCGCUCUGUUUGAUUGGUCAGGUUUGGGUGCUCUCUCUAUAAUCACCAGCACGUCCAGCAGGCUGCUUGGCGAUAGUUUUGAUGAAGAAGAAAUGGCAUCACUGGUGGUGGUCAUGGUGGCUGCAGAGAUUAGUGACAGUACCGAGCAAAUGGAGGCAUCCCAACCCACCCAACAUGAGGAAGAGGAAGAGGAACUUGUAUCGAAAAAGGGCGCGAGUCGCGACAUCAGUUGUCUGGAGAUUAUUCAGAUUUAGAAAAUCCGACAAUGCUCAAAAAACAAUACUAUGCAAAGAUUGUGGACGUCGAAUUGACAUCUAUUCAACGUAUUUUUUCGAUGAUGAGGUACAAAUCUGGACAUCGUUUUAACGUCUAAAAAAGGUCCAAUAAUGACGUCUAAAUCUUGGAUCCAUUUUGCACAUUGUGCCGACAGCUAGAUUUUGUCUUCAGAUGACAUCCAAAUUCUAAACGUCAGAGCGACGUCUAAAAAAGGUCCAAUUUGGACGUCUAAAUUUCGAACCUAUUUUGCACGUUGCACUGACGUCUAGAUGUGGUCUUUGACGGACCGACCCAAUACUGACUUGAUCUGCAUGUCUCUUCGACGUCCGAUGUUUGGUGGGAAAAGGAAAAUGAACAAAUAUGACAGUAUGGUUAUUUUUAAGCCAUUAAUUGAAUUAAUAGGGGGGAAAAAAAAAACUUACCGUGAGAUAAACCAUUGCCGUGAUAUAAAACUGCUUAUUACACUGUGAUCUAAGAUUUUGUUCAUACCGCCCAACAUUCUAGUACGCUGUUUCAGGUUGCAGUGUGCAGGUACAGAGGUGUAGUGAUUUGGAUUUGCUUUCUGUAAGAAGUUUAAGACAGGGCCAUGAGGAAUAAGUGCUUUAGUCAUUCAAAUCGCUCCCAUGUAUAAAACACAUUACAGUUUAAGUGCAUUUCACCGAUUCGAAUGUUGUGAAAUGGGAAUAUUGAGAGAGUACAGGUGGAAAUCAUGAGUGACUUCACAGAAUCACUUUAUGCACUUCAAAGAGUCGUACCGCCUUUUUGUUUUCCUCCUUUUUAUCCCGAGCCAACCUCUUUGUUUCAAUGCCUUUUUCGACAAGCUGUGAAUUUAUCUCUCUUCAACGCGUCUCAAGGCCCGGCGUUCAGAAACGACCCUGACUAGCAUCUAGCCGUAGCGUGUUCAAUAUGCCGCUAGUCUGAGCUGUCACAUUCAGUUCAGUCAGUACAAUACCAGCCGAGUCAAAAUAAGCAGUAUGCAUCGAGUCGAAGCCCAGCAGCAGAUUAUUUAACACCAAGUUAUCAAGUUGUGAUUCUGUCUGUGAGCUGUCUUUUCAUUACUUGGAAGUAACAUGAUGGAAACACCCAGAGGCAGCGCUACCCGUUUAAAAAUGUUCUCGAUAAAGAUUCGUCCGUACAUGCUGCGAAUACCUGUCCAAACACUCACAUAAAGUGGAGAUACUGCGGGAGGAGCGAGGGGAAAGUUCACGCCAGGUACUGUAAAAACAACAGGAGGCUGAUUUAGCCCGCUCAUCAACACCAGCUGUGACAUACGGAUCGUGGAGGUAAUUUCAAACCCUCCCUUUGUGCCUGAUUGCCGCAGUUUGUGUCAAAGAAAGCACAGUGAGCGUGAGCACAAAGACAUGAUACGACUGCGUUAUCAGUGUGCCGUUCUCUACGGGCAGAUAUCAUCAUCUCUGAUGUUUGCACAAAUGUCCCAAAAUCUGCUGAGACGGCAGAGGGAAGGUACGAGAAAAAAAGGCUCCUCAUAACUCCAAAACUCACAGAGAAUCAUCCUAAUUUAAGAUUUCAACAGUAUCAAGGUAGAACCGUGGAAUCAGUCUAUCUCCACAUGUUGCUGCGGUUAUAAACAGCCUCUAGUAAUCAAAUCGAGUCACAGUUGUAGCGAUUGCUAAAACAGUAACUGUUAAACAAUACCGCAUAUAAUCCCCCCUUAUUUAAUUUUCCCACAAGCCCACUGUGUCUCUUCCUUUCUGGUCUUGUGCUCAGCUUGGCCAUAAAUUUUUAGAUCAGACAUGAAAGUUAUAUCAAUUUCUUCAUCCAACUUUCCACAAGAGAAAGAUUCUUCUGCAGCUCUGCAGCCAAAGACUGUUCCUGCCUGUUCCUCGUAGUUGCAGUGAUUUCACACAGCUCAGAGCACAGAGGUCUGGGCAUUUGGUGUCGACUGAGAAAGCUCUGGCUGCCAGAGACGAGGAAGCUAAUUUAUAUAAGAAUGGGAUGGAGAUUAAGACCUCUGAGGGUAUUAUGGAUUUGGGGAAUUAAGCAUAAUGGAUUUCAUGUAGGGCUUUCUUUUACGAGUCCCCGGCUGGAGAGAGGUACGCGGUCUUGAGAGCACAUCUGAUUCAUUCCACGGAAGAAGAACUGGCACGUGCACUCAACCAACAAGCUCUCUUUCACUGCAAACACACACACACAAUCAUGCACGCUUCCUCUUAUGCCCGCAUUUAUACAAACAGCAGCUCCCUCCGAUGAGCCAUGGCUCCCAAAAUGGCUUUUGUCAUCCCCAAGUGUGUAUUUAUGAAGAUUUCACAGUUAUAUUUCAUGCUGCUCCGGUUUGUGAAACACAGGUUAGUGGAAAUCAUCGAAACCACAAACAAAUGUAACACACAGUAUGCUUUAACGCCGCACCACUGCGAGUGUAAUAACAGGCCGGGUUUUCAAAACCUCUGCAAAGUUCUCAGGCGGAAACUAUCUUAUCUUUAGUCACGAUGAAUUUGAGGUAAACCGUAGGAAUGUGCUGUUCAUGUCACGGAGAAAUGAGACAGGAAUGAAUCAGCCGUUUUUUUUUUUAACCUAACAGUCUGCGAGAUUUUGCCCCCCGGACAGACUUUGAGAGCUGGCUGUUAAAAGUACAUGAGGUGGACUCAAUAACACAAAUAAAACAUCACAAAAACCUCUUUAAAGUUUACUCCCAAAUAAAUUAGUUGCACUCUGCAGGUUCAGGAUAAGUAUGUGUGAAUACAACCAUAAAAUAUUGACUGUUGCUAUUAAUUAUUGCUAAACUGGUAUUAAAAUAUCAAUGACACGGAGUGUGCAUUGAGUGCUGAUGAUAUCCCAUUUGUUUUGCUUUAUCGCACACACACACACACACACACACACACACACAGACACACAAGUUCAAGUUUUUUGAUGAAAGCUCUAAAUAAAGGAGAAGUUUGCAUCUGAAAUUUUGUUCUUUUCAGUUUUCUGUUCGGUGAGGAUUUAAACUUCGUCCGUCUAAUUUUGAUGUCCUCAAAGUCAACUCAUAACUCUAUCAAAAAAUCAUUCAAACUCUCGGGAAACAACUUUUGAAAUACCGUCGACACUUCACCUUGUUGGAGUGAAUAGCAAACUCACAUUAGUAUCAAUUUGCUGUCAUGUUUAAUGAAAAUAAUCCAAUAUUUGGUCUGUUUUUAACUGAAGUUGAGUCUUUAUGCCCCUUAGAGAAGUAGCUGAGUCAUCCGCUGCCAAAGGUUUCAUCAGCUAGCGAGCUAACUGCUGCUCAUUUCGAGUUGAAAUAAGAAACUAAUAAAGCACUCGCAGAGCGCAGACCUCCGCCAAGCAGCUCAUAUCCCCCCUUAUAUUGUGAUUCACAACAAAACUUUUACUGUUACGUGUCUUUUAUUAACUUUUAUUCGUGUUUAAACUGGUAUGUUCACUGUUCAAGAAAUGCCCUGGCUGGGAUUCGAACCCAGGACCUUCUGGUUGUGAUUCGACAGUGCUAACCACUACACCACUGUACCGCCUAUCUACACCACUGUGCCGCCCAUUGGUUAUCUUUCAGCAUUGAAAAUUCCAACGACACCCCUAUUUUUCUGUGUUCUGGAUCACAGUAUCCAGAAUUUUGUCUGGAUCAGGAUCAACCUUUGACACCUCAUAAAACUCAUUGAGAUCCUUUUGUGUCAUUUUUUUAUGAAAGACGCUGGCCAUUUUUUUUAGAGUUAAAUGCAAAAAUUCCAAAAUUUGCCCUAUCUCACAAUGAUAAAGAAUCCUUCAAAAAAUUCCUGGAUCCAGAAGGUGAUCCGGAUCACCACCAAAAUGUAAUGGGAUCCUCCUGGGGCUGAGACGCACCUCUGAUGAAAAUUUCAGGUCAAUCUGUCUGUAACUUUCUCUGUAAAGUUGCUAACAAACAAACAAACAAACCAACGCUACCGAAAACAUAACCUCCUUGGCAGAGGUAAUGAUGCUACAUAAGCAUAACUGUCACUUCAUACCAAAAGCCUCAUGUUCUCAUCUCCUAAACGCUCCUCUGUGGUCACGAGCUAGUCGCUAACUUAACGAUAGUUUGAACUGAACUCAAGCUGUCAUGAUGAUAAAUGCUACGGCGCUAAACAAAGGAGCAAAUCUGUGCAUCAUAAAGCCAAAACAAUGAGCUGUGAGAUUCUAAGCAGCUCUCUAUAGCUGAGACGAACAACAGCGCCGGGGGGAUAAAUCUGUUAGACACAACCAGAAACUCCUUCCACAUUACACAAAGCCAAUUGCCUGGUUGUUAAUAUAAAAAUAUUGAUCGGUGCAGCUUUAAAGAUUUUGUUUGUGUGUGUGGUGGUUUCCUAACUAAUGCUUGGUGAGAGCAACAUAACUCCAGUCCUUGUCAAUAUUCUUAGUCGAUUCACUUGUUACUACAUUAUGAUGGAUAGGUUUAUAAAACAGCAGCGGAUGAGGCUGUGUUGUUUGAGUGCUGUUGCAUUGAAUGCUUUUUAAGUCUGUCACCAGUUUGUUCGGUGUGUGUCUCCGCGUGUGUAAGUAAGAGAAUGAGACAGUUCUUGAACAUAUUGACUUUGGGGCACUGCAGUGGCUUAGCUGUGAAUCACUUAACCAUGACAUCCUUGGUUUGCUUCUUGCUGCACUAGGACCCUCUUCUGAGUUUAUCUCCCCCUCUCUCUCUCUCUUUCUCUCUUUACAUUUCUCAGUACUGUAUGGAAUAAUAAAAAGGAAAAUGCUGCAAAAAGGACUAUGAAAAAAAUUUAACUUAAAAGUUUGCUUUAGGGCUUUUGAAUACAUUUACGCACCUAAAAAACAAGCGUGAAGCCAACAAUGGUGUUGUAGUCCCAAUUAAUUGAAUUCUUCUGAACAUUUGCUGAAUAUUAACAAAGUGAGUCAAGCUUUAAUUGAGAGCCACUUUUUUUUUUUGGCGCAUUGAGUCUACAUUUUACCGCCUGCCCUCAAUCUACUCCUGUUAUUCCACUCCAGGCCAGCUGGUGGCAGCAGUGAGCUUCUCAGUUAGUUUGUGUAUUGUUAAAAAAUACAGUUUACCUGGUAAAAAAAGGCAGUUUUUGUUUAAUUACAACCAUAGACUGUGUAUACUUUGGACAACUUGGUUCCGCCUCCCACCUGAUUUGACGCCAAAAAGCUCUCGGUAAUUCUGCGUUUUUUUCGUCAUUUCCUGAAACCAACAUUGCGCAGUAGCGUUGUACGAUUCGGCAGGAGAGUCACCGCGAGUUGCUGUGAUGACGCUCGGCUCAAAUAGCGUAUCCCCCGGGUGAGCUACGCAAUCCCUGAACGCCAAUAGGCUGUAUCAGGUGUCAAUAAUAGAAAACAUGAACCCCCUAAUAACUUUUAAAAACGGAGCUGCACAGAAAAAAAAGGGGGACUUGAGCACAAACCAGUGUCACUGUAAAUACAUGUCAACAUCACAAGCAGGGGGAGAAAGAUUUAUGUUCUAUGUAAUAGAUUUUUAAAGUUUGUCCACAGCCCCAUAAGCUUUGCUGGCGGAGGCGGGAUCUAUGACCUAUACUGCAGCCUGGCAACUGAGGGUGCUGUUCUUGGAGUGGCUUCACCCAGCGAGGAGGCAGACGGCGUCCAUUCUAUAUACAGUCUAUGGCUGUGUCCGAAAUUAAGCACUCAAUCCCUAACCCCUAACCUCCAUAUGGGGUUUUACUAUAUAGCUGACUAUGUAGUGAGCUCAAUCACCAGAGGUUUCGGACACUACAUGGCAUGACGCAAUGCAAUGAUGGUCGUUACAUUUUGCAAUGCUCUAUGGGAAAUUUUAAGUCGCCUAUACGGGGCGUUGGAAUUGAUCACUCAGGUUUUGGACACCCUUCAAAAUGGCACUAAUGGAUCAAUUUCGGACACAGCCUAUGAUUACAACCCUCAGCUCAAUCUACUCCUGUUAUUCCACUCCGGGCCAGCUAGUGGCAGCAGUGCGCUUCUCAGCUAGUUCGUCUAUUACUGUUAAAGACAGUAACUGUUUGCCUGGCAGAAAAGGUAGUUUUGGUUUAAUUACAACCUUCAACUCAAUCCACUGCCCCAUCUCUCUUAAUGAAUGCCCGUAAAAUAAACUUUAAAUAUUAGACAGAAACAAAAGAAAAUGGAAAAUGGGUGAACUCUAAGAUCUGGGCUGAGAUCCAUACGCCUCCAAAAAGGUCGCUAAAGCAUUAAAAGCUUUCUUAAGAGCUUACAUUACACUGAACUGCAGGAAAUGGACUAACAAAGUAUUGAUUUUCAUGCUAUUGUUUCGAGCAUCUCAUCACAAAAGGCCCCCCACCCCACCCCACCCCCAAACCCCCGGAAAGAUGUUUUCAAGCUGCUGCUCAGUCUCUCAUAAAGGGUCAACUUUAUAUUUGUGGCUGGCUGGAUUUAGAUGUCUGAUGCCAUCGCUCAGCUGAUGAAAAAGUUAAGCGACUUCCCAGAAUUCGCCUCGGUGCACAGGACCCAUAAAUCACGGUUACGCCCCUGCACCCAGACACAUAAACACAAUCAAACUCCCAGCAUUCAGAGCUGCACUUGGAGGGGAAAGAGGAGAUAUUCUGGGUUAUCUCUGCGAACGGGUGCCUUCCCCUGGCUCCCACUCCACUCGUCUUCCCCCGCCAGAUAAACAUGUUGUUCCAAACACUGGUUCAACACACGGCGAAGGGCGGAGAUUAAGGCAGACUUAAGUUUAUCAUAAAUGAAGAGCAAAGUCGACAGUUGUGUGGCCCACUGCAUCUCAAUGCUAAAACCAGCAGCUGGGGUUGUUUAAGGAGGUGAUGUGGAGCUGUGCUGCAGCAGCCACCAGGCAUUCCACUGCUGAGGUAGGCUCUAAUCCUCCGCUCCUGGCUCGCUCCUGACAGGGGAGGAAGCAAGUCGAAGCAGCGGGGAGACAGGCUCACAAAUCAGAAUUUAUGGUGCGAUCAACAAUGUCUUAUAGUUGUUUCAGAGAGACACUGAUCCUGAGGCUUUGUGGCUGCUGUUGUAGCUCUCAAUCCAGCGAAUAAUCCUUGUAUACUGAAUAAUAAAAAGGUGGAAAAUUGGAUAAGAAAAUCAAUAUCCGACUGCAAGUCUGACAUUUGUAGCAAAAAGCAUCUGUAGUUAAUCAUUUACUCUUGUUUUUUUAUUGCUUUCAGGGGUGCACGAUCAGCAGGUUAUCUACAUUUCCAGCCCCGGCCUCUCAUCUUCUGAAUGGUGCAAGGAACCAAACAGGAACGGCGUCCUCUUGCAGCACAAAUCUCACCACCGGCUCGGGUAUGUGGAGACUUAAAAACCCACUGAAAAUCUGCU